ACAAAAUUAUAUUUUUUAAAUAUACCUCUAUUUAGAUUUUUACCUCCAAAACCAUUCAUCAAAUUCACGUAAUCGAGUUUUUCAAACAUAAUUGUCUUAAUGGAUAGCAAAGCCAACUCAUUUAUUUGAUUAAUAAAAACAAAGUUUUUAUUUUGUAAUCAAAGUUCAAGCACCUUACAUUAGAAAGUCUUUGACUUUUUUUU
rnacentral:sRNA from 1 species